rfam:Pteropus alecto contig75330, whole genome shotgun sequence.
GUCCACGGCCAUGCCACUCUGAACAAGCCUGAUCUCAUCUGAUCUCAGAAGCUGAGCAGGGUCAGGCCUGGUUAGUACUUGGAUGGGAGACCACCUAGGAAGACCAGGUGCUAUUGGCA